rnacentral:rRNA from 1 species
AGCGGGGUGAUCUACCCAUGGCCAGUGUGAAGCAGCAGUAAGAUGCUGUGGAGGCGCGAACCCACGUAGGUUGAAAACUGCGGGGAUGAGCUGUGGGUAGGGGUGAAAGGCCAAUCAAACUCCGUGAUAGCUGGUUCUCCCCGAAAUGCAUUUAGGUGCAGCGUCGCAUUAGCUUGGUGGAGGUAGAGCUACUGGUUGGUUGAGCGGGACUACAAUCUUAGCAAUGUCAGCCAAACUCCGAAUGCCAUUAAUGUGUUGUGCGGCAGUGAGACUGUGGGGGAUAAGCUUCAUAGUCGAGAGGGAAACAGCCCAGAUCGCCGGUUAAGGCCCCUAAGGGUGUGCUAAGUGGAAAAGGAUGUGGGAUCGCGAAGACAGCCAGGAGGUUGGCUUAGAAGCAGCCAUCCUUGAAAGAGUGCGUAAUAGCUCACUGGUCGAGUGGUUCUGCGCCGACAAUGUAGUGGGGCUCAAGCACACCGCCGAAGCCGCGGCAAUAAUAUUUUGUUAUUGGGUAGGGGAGCGUCGUGCACGUGUUGAAGCGUUACCGUGAGGAGGCGUGGAGUGUGUGCGAGUGAGAAUGCAGGCAUGAGUAACGAAUUGGAAGGUGAGAAUCCUUCCCGCCGGAUGACUAAGGGUUCCUGGGUCAAGUUCGUCUUCCCAGGGUGAGUCGGGACCUAAGGCGAGGCCGACAGGCGUAGUCGAUGGAUAACCAGUUGAUAUUCUGGUACCCGAGUAUAUGCGCCCCUGAUAAAGCACUGAUACUAACCACCGUAAGCUGUUGUGAUUGGCCUUCGGGUUAACAUGGUGGCAAGCCGUGGGGCCUGAUGUGUGGUUCAAGCGAUGGGGUGACACAGUGGGGUAGCCAUGCCGCUUAGUGGAUUGUUGGUGUAAGCGUGUAGGUGAUGGUGUAGGUAAAUCCGCACUUGUUAGCUGAGACGUGAUGCGUAGCCUUAAUUGGUGAAGUUGGUGAUCCCGUGCUGUCGAGAAAAGCCUCUAGCGAUGUAUAUACUCGGCCCGUACCCCAAACCGACACAGGUAGUCAGGUUGAAAAUACUAAGGCGUUCGGGUGAACUGUGGUUAAGGAACUCGGCAAAAUGCCCCCGUAACUUCGGGAGAAGGGGGACCCUAUGGCGUUAACACCCAUUUGCGGUGGGAAGCGUUGUGGGGUCGCAGAGAAUAGAGGGAAGCGACUGUUUAUCAAAAACACAGGUCCAUGCGAAGACGUUAAGUUGAUGUAUAUGGACUGACGCCUGCCCGGUGCUGGAAGGUUAAGAGGACCGGUUAAUCAAGCUUUGCUUGGUGAAGCUGAGAAUUUAAGCCCCAGUAAACGGCGGUGGUAACUAUAACCAUCCUAAGGUAGCGAAAUUCCUUGUCGGGUAAGUUCCGACCUGCACGAAUGGCGUAACGACUUCCCUGCUGUCUCAACCACAGGCCCGGUGAAAUUGCACUACGAGUAAAGAUGCUCGUUACGCGCGGCAGGACGAAAAGACCCCGGGACCUUCACUAUAGCUUGGUAUUGGUGUUCGGUUCGGUUUGUGUAGGAUAGGUGGGAGACUAUGAAACAUGCACGCCAGUGUGUGUGGAGUCGUUGUUGAAAUACCACUCUGAUCGGAUUGGAUACCUUAACCUUGGCCCAUGAUCUGGGUUGGGGACAGUGCCUGGUGGGUAGUUUAACUGGGGCGGUUGCCUCCCAAAAUGUAACGGAGGCGCCCAAAGGUUCCCUCAGCCUGGUUGGCAAUCAGGUGGUGAGUGUAAGUGCACAAGGGAGCUUGACUGUGAGAGUGACAGCUCGAACAGGGACGAAAGUCGGGACUAGUGAUCCGGCACCUACUUGUGGAUGUGGUGUCGCUCAACGGAUAAAAGGUACCCCGGGGAUAACAGGCUGAUCUUCCCCAAGAGUCCAUAUCGACGGGAUGGUUUGGCACCUCGAUGUCGGCUCGUCGCAUCCUGGGGCUGGAGUAGGUCCCAAGGGUUGGGCUGUUCGCCCAUUAAAGCGGCACGCGAGCUGGGUUCAGAACGUCGUGAGACAGUUCGGUCUCUAUCCGCCGCGCGCGUUGAAACUUGAAGAAGGCUGUCCCUAGUACGAGAGGACCGGGACGGACGUACCUCUAGUGUGCCAGUUGUUCCGCCAGGAGCAUCGCUGGUUGGCUACGUACGGAAGGGAUAACCGCUGAAAGCAUCUAAGCGGGAAGCCUGUUUUAAGAUGAGGUUUCAUUUGAGGUCCCCUAAAGACUAUGGGGUUGAUAGGCCAGACAUGGAAGCACCGCAAGGUGUGGAGUCUACUGGUACUAAUAGACCAAAACAAACACACACGAACC